rnacentral:rRNA from 1 species
GUCUGCAACCCGACUACAUGAAGCUGGAAUCGCUAGUAAUCGCGGAUCAGCAUGCCGCGGUGAAUACGUUCUCGGGCCUUGUACACACCGCCCGUCACACCAUGGGAGUCGGUAACACCCGAAGUCUGUAGCCUGACGCAAGAGGGCGCACGCCGAAGGUGGGAUUGAUGACUGGGGUGAAGUCGUAACAAGGUACC